rnacentral:rRNA from 1 species
UACGUAGGGUGCAAGCGUUGUCCGGAAUUAUUGGGCGUAAAGAGCUCGUAGGCGGUUUGUCGCGUCUGCUGUGAAAACCCGAGGCUCAACCUCGGGCCUGCAGUGGGUACGGGGCAGACUAGAGUGCGGUAGGGGAGACUGGAAUUCCUGGUGUAGCGGUGAAAUGCGCAGAUAUCAGGAGGAACACCGGUGGCGAAGGC